GAGAAGAACGUAGCGAAAUGCGAUACUUGGUGUGAAUUGCAGAAUCCCGCGAAUCAUCGAGUUUUUGAACGCAAGUUGCGCCCGAAGCCAUUCGGCCGAGGGCACGUCUGCCUGGGUGUCACGCAUCGUUGCCCCCCCAAACUCCGGUUCGGGCGGGGCGGAAGUUGGCCUCCCGUGCGUGCCUGCGCGCGCGGUUAGCCCAAAAGCGAGUCCUCGGCGACGAGCGCCACGACAAUCGGUGGUUUUUUUACCCUCGUUCCUCGUCGUGCGUGUCCCGUCGCCCGAACGCGCUCUUGUGACCCUCACGCGUCGCCUCGGCGGCGCUCCCAACGCGACCCCAGGUCAGGCGGGACUACCCGCUGAGUUUAAGCAUAUCAAUAAGCGGAGGA
rnacentral:misc_RNA from 1 species